rnacentral:rRNA from 1 species
GGUGAACGCUGGCGGCGCGCUUAAUGCAUGCAAGUCGAGCGUGACCCGAUGGGGCAACCUGUCGGGUAAAGCGGCGAACGGCUGAAUAACGCGUGAGCAACUUGCCCUCUGGUGGGGUACAGCCCCGAGAAAUCGAGGUUAAUCCCGCAUACGAUCCUCAGGCCCCUGGUCUGGGGAUGAAAGGCCCGAUUCGUUGGGUCGCCGGAGGAGAGGCUCGCGUCCUAUCAGGUAGNGGCGGGGUAACGGCCCACCAAGCCGAUGACGGGUAGCUGGUCUGAGAGGAUGGCCAGCCAGAGGGGGACUGAGACACGGCCCCCACUCCUACGGGAGGCAGCAGUGGGGAAGUUUUGGACAAUGGGGGCGAACCCUGAUCCAGCGACGCCGCGUGGAGGACGAAGGUCUUCGGAUUGUAAACUCCUUUUGGAGGGGAAGAAUGCCUGAGUGAAUAACU